AUGUCACUUUGCGAUCUCGCGUCCCAAGUCACGGAGCUCUACCCCGACUACGAAGUCCCGAAAUUACCUGAGGACACGCAACUUGGGCUGGUGAGGGUGGAGGCGGUGCCGAAGAAGCUGAUGGCACUGGGCCUGCAUUUCACUCCUUUGGAAAAGAUCAUCAAGGAUGCAGUGGAGAGCCUUCGGAGAAGAGGAUGCAUCGCCUGA
rnacentral:rRNA from 1 species